GUAUUCUUCCACAGCUUUCUUGAACUGCAUAUAUUAAGUGGGAUCUUUCUGAAGCCAGUGUAGACACACACUAGCACUCUUUCAACAAGUCCUUGUUUCAAUUGCGGUUCAAGCUAGCUGUGGGAAGA
rnacentral:pre_miRNA from 1 species